rnacentral:rRNA from 1 species
AGUUAUCUGAACCUUCGUGGAACGAUAACGGCGUCGAGCGGCGGACGGGUGAGUAAUGCCUAGGAAAUUGCCCUGAUGUGGGGGAUAACCAUUGGAAACGAUGGCUAAUACCGCAUAAUGCCUACGGGCCAAAGAGGGGGACCUUCGGGCCUCUCGCGUCAGGAUAUGCCUAGGUGGGAUUAGCUAGUUGGUGAGGUAAUGGCUCACCAAGGCGACGAUCCCUAGCUGGUCUGAGAGGAUGAUCAGCCACACUGGAACUGAGACACGGUCCAGACUCCUACGGGAGGCAGCAGUGGGGAAUAUUGCACAAUGGGCGCAAGCCUGAUGCAACCAUGCCGCGUGUGUGAAGAAGGCUUCGGGGUUGUAAAGCACUUUCAGUCGUGAGGAAGGUAGUGUAGUUAAUAAGCUGCA